rnacentral:ncRNA from 1 species
GCGUUGAUUACGUCCCUGCCCUUUGUACACACCGCCCGUCCGCUACUACCGAUUGAAUGGUUUAGUGAGGUCCUCCGAUUGGACCCGGUCCGGGCGGCGACGUCCGAGCCGGCGUCCGAGAAGACGAUCUAACUUGAUCAUUUAGAGGAAGUAAAAGUCGUAACAAGGUUUCCGUAGGUGAACCUGCGGAAGGAUCAUUA